AUGAGGAGGUUUUUCCGAGCGGACAGGAACGAGGACCACAGUCAGAUCCAGUAUCUGACGGCCAAGUGCACCCGGCUGGCUCACGACAACGCGAUGCUCGACAGGGAGAUGCUGCUGGCCCGAGGCCGCGAGAGGAAGCUGCACAGCGAGCUGGAGGCCGCGGCCUCUGGACUCCGCCUCCGCGAUCAGAUCAACGCGGAGCUCAGGAUGAGAGAGGAGCAGCUCGUCGGCAGGAUCCACCAGCAGCAGGACCUGGUGCACCGGCUGCAGCAGCGCCUGCUCCUGCUGGCGGAGGCGAGCUCCCGGGACGGCGAGCUGCUGCGGCAGGUCGGCACAGAGCUGCUGUGCCUGCAGAGCUCCGAGGUGGAGCUGGAGGGCCUGGUGGAGGAGCUGCACGCCGAGGCCCAACGCAAGGCCGGGAUGGCAGAGAGCCUCCAGGCGGAGCUGCACGCUGAGGCCCAGCGCCGGGCCGCCCUGACGGAGAGCCUGCAGGCGGAGCAGCGCAGGAAGAGGGGCGAGCUGGAGGAGCUACGAGACACCAACCAAACGCUGACGGACGAGCUGAAGGAUCUACGCUCGGCUCACCAGACGCAGGUGAGGGAGCUGCAGCAGGAGAACGAGGGGAGUCUGAGGAAGCUGCAGGCGACGGCGGAGCAGUUCGAGUGGCUCUGUCAGCAGCAGCGCGGCUGGAUGUGUUGUGUCAAGAGAUUCAAGGACAGCCUGAUGGAGGAGAGGGACGCUCUGCUGCGACAGGUCGUCGCCCUCAACAAGAAGGUCGAGGAGCUGAAGAAGAGUUUGCGCGAAGACGCUCCCACGCAGAGCGUCCUCCGUCCCCCGCAGGACACCAAACGCCGUGACAGCUUAACGUCGUUGGACGCAGACGCUGUGGCUGACCUGGAGUCUCGGGUGGAGAAGUCAAACAUGCUGUACGCGGCGCUCUUUAACCAGGCAGGAGUCCUCAUCAGCGGAUACCAACACCCUCCUUGA
ensembl:lncRNA